rnacentral:rRNA from 1 species
UACGUAGGGCGCAAGCGUUGUCCGGAAUUAUUGGGCGUAAAGAGCUCGUAGGCGGCUUGUCACGUCGGGUGUGAAAGCCCGGGGCUUAACCCCGGGUCUGCAUUCGAUACGGGCAGGCUAGAGUGUGGUAGGGGAGAUCGGAAUUCCUGGUGUAGCGGUGAAAUGCGCAGAUAUCAGGAGGAACGCCGGUGGCGAAGGCGGAUCUCUGGGCCAUUACUGACGCUGAGGAGCGAAAGCGUGGGGAGCGAACAGG